AGAGCUUUGAGAACUUUCUUAAACUAGCCUCAUGUAAUUGAUCAUUUGAAAAACCGUAAUUGUAUUGCUUCAAGGAAAUUAGUUGUUUCUUCGUGAGUUAUCUCUACAAGGAUUUAACUUUAUUAGCCGAUUCUAAACAUAUUUGAGCUUAUGGCCUGGUGUAAUUGUGAUUCUAAUCUAUUAUCAAGGUAUUGUAGACUUUGCACAUCAAUCCAAGUAGCAGUCAUUGUGGCGAAGGUUGCUCUGCACUAGAAAUAUGUUAGCAAACAAUGAUAAUUGAAAUUAACUUUCUAAAACUUGGAUUUGUAGACAUUAGGUUGUUUGAGUUACUUCUGAAAGAUAUUUUUUAAUUUAGCAAUUCUUAUCCCAUAGCUAUUUCAGGCUUUCGAAUUUGGGCAUUGUGUGGAAAUUUGUUUCCGCUCCACAGAAAUUCAUUCCUCUUUCCUUUUCGUUUCCAAUUUUGAAAAUUUUGAACACUUGAAAGUCUCUAAUAGUUAGUGCGUGUUUUUAGUAUACCUAAAAAUGGUGACAUCGAGGGGUCAAAUGGAGAAGAUGAAGCUACAUCCGUAUCACAUGAACACUGAUCUCAUGCGAGUCACACAGUCUGAUACUCUUUGUAAAGUGUCUCUCACUUGAAUUUUCCUUAUUUUAUUGAUAUUUUUGAGUUUAUUUUUUUGCUCUAUAUCAUCCUACUUACACACUGAUACCUGUUAUGUUUGGAUUUGCAGUUUGAUGUUUCCCACUUUACGUGGAAGGGAGGCCAUCCAUUUGAAGUGAUGCACUUGGCCCUCACUGGAGUAGUACAAUUUUCCUUCCUACCUCCCGCAACAAGACUUAAUAAAGCUAGAAAAUACGUAGUCCUUAAGAAUAAGUCAUGAAUCGAAGUGUACGUAUCUGGACAAUGAGGAUUCACAACUAUUGUGGCUGGUGUAGCGGUAAUGAUACUACCAAGUGGCUAAGGUAGGGUGAAAGAUGGUCUACCGAAGCUUGGAGGAAAAAGAUAUCUUAUACUGAAGCUUUGAAAUAGUCCUUACACUUAAAACUGGAUAUUCAUUAUCUUUUAGAUGAAGCUUGGAGGAAAAAGAUAUCUUAUACCGAAGCUUUGAAUUAGUCCUUACACUAAAAAGUGGAUAUUCAUUAUCUUUCAACUAUUUGGUAAAGUUUUGCCUCUCAAUGCAUGAAAGUAUAUCAAGUGUUAUUAUGUUUUGUACAUUUAAUUAGUGUGACAAUACACUUGAAUUGAGUGUGAGAAUAUUUUUCUCGGUUGAACUUUUUGGUA